rnacentral:rRNA from 1 species
GAUCAAGUGUCUUAAGGGCAUUCCGGAGGAUGCCUUGGCGGCAAGAGGCGAUGAAGGACGUGGUACGCUGCGAUAAGCUACGGUGAGGUGCGAACAGCCUGUGACCCGUAGAUUUCCGAAUGGGGAAACCCACCUUCAGAAGUCAGAAUAGAGAAACCGAGAGCCUGGUGCUUCUUGGGUUUCGCGGUUUUUGUAUUCUGGCUUCUGAUUAGGUAUUUGAUCCUGAAUUCAUAGGGAUCAAAAGCAAACCCGGGGAACUGAAACAUCUAAGUACCCGGAGGAAAGGACAUCAACAGAGACUCCGCUAGUAGUGGCGAGCGAACGCGGAUCAGGCCAGUGCUUCAGCAAAGACAAGUGGAACCUUCUGGAAAGUUGGGCCUCAGUGGGUGAUAGCCCCGUACACGUAAUGCGAUGCUGAAGACUCGAGUAAGGCGGGACACGUGCAAUCCUGUCUGAACAUGGGGGGACCACCCUCCAAGCCUAAGUACUCUUUGCCGACCGAUAGCGAACAAGUACCGUGAGGGAAAGGUGAAAAGCACCCCGACGAGGGGAGUGAAAGAGACCUGAAACCGGAUGCCUACAAACAGUCGGAGCCCAAGAU